GGGGGUGUAGUUUAGUGGUAGAAGGCAUGUUUAGCAUGCAUGAAGUCCUGGGUUCCAUCCCCAGCACUGCGA
rfam:Ictidomys tridecemlineatus contig055436, whole genome shotgun sequence.